GGCCGCAGUAUAUUAACUGUGCAAAGGUAGCAUAAUCAUUAGUCUUUUAAUUGAAGGCUGGUAUGAAUGGUUGGACAAAAUAUUAACUGUUUCAUUUAAAAUUUUAAUAGAAUUUUAUUUUUUAGUUAAAAAGCUAAAAUUAAUUUAAAAGACGAGAAGACCCUAUAAAUCUUUAUAUUUAUUUUAUAAUAAUUUUAUAGAAAAUUUAAAUUUUUAUAAUUGAUAAUAUUUUAUUGGGGUGAUAUUAAAAUUUAUUAAACUUUUAAUUAUUUUUACCAUUAAUUUAUGAAUUUUUGAUCCGUUAUUAACGAUUAAAAAAAUAAGUUACUUUAGGGAUAACAGCGUAAUUUUUUUGGAGAGUUCACAUUAAUAAAAAAGAUUGCGACCUCGAUGUUGGAUU
rnacentral:rRNA from 1 species